CAGCCUGAGGCCGCGGCCGGGUGCCCUCCUGCCCUCCUGGCCAUCCAGGGAUUGGGUGUCAGUGGCCUGUUGCACAUUGUCACUUCUACAAGUGACUAACACCGUCAGGAUAAUCUAAAACUACGAAUACUACCUGACUCCACAAGGGUACGGUGUAUUCUCCAGUUUUAGCAUCUGCCUUAAAAAUUACCUCAGAGUUAAGCACUGCUGGGGACUUAUUUCUACUCUUGGCAGGAGGAGAAAAGGAAAUGACAUCAGAGGUGCUUUGCUAAAGAUCACAGGAACUGCAGCUGUGGCCUUCCUAUUUCGCAGAUUCCCAUCAGAGUACAGUAAAACAAAAAUUAAAUAGAAUUCAUAUAUUUGAAAUCCUUGGCAUCAAUUCACUCCAGGAAUCCAAGACAGUACUCAACUGAAGGGGAAGCAAGCACAAGGGAGAUUUCUGGGACACUGAUACUGUUCCGUUUCUUCAUCUGAAUGCUGCUUAUGGGCCUUGUUCAAUUUGUGAAAAUUCAUGACUUUGUACAUUUAUGUUAAUUUCCCAGACACCCUACAGUGAGGGGUGACUUAUGACUGAAUUGACAGCCAAUGCAACAGAAGACUUGGUCCAUGAAAACCUCCCAUGCAAUAUCCCUUCCAUGCUCUUUUCUACCUGCUGGAUUGAUCGAGCUGAGCAUGCAACCUUGAAAAAAAAAGCCUUCAGGAGGGUAGAGUCACAAGAUGGAAGGAGCAUACAUCAUUACUUGCAGAGGGCCACUGGCUAACUGGGAACCUUUUUGGGACUGUAUGGGACCAAGAAAUAAAUUUAUUUCCUAUUUGA
rnacentral:lncRNA from 10 species